GGACUACAGGGGUUUCUAAUCCUGUUUGCUCCCCACGCUUUCGUGUCUCAGCGUCAGUGAUGGUCCAGAAAGCCGUCUACACCGCAGGUGUUCCUCCUGAUAUCUACGCAUUUCACCGCUACACCAGGAAUUCCGCUUUCCUCUCCCAUACUCAAGCCCUCCAGUUUUCGGCGCACCCUCCCAGUUAAGCCGGGAGAUUUCACACCAAACUUAGAGAACAGCCUACACACUCUUUACGCCCAGUAACUCCGAACAACGCUUGCUGCCUACGUAUUACCGCGGCUGCUGGCAC
rnacentral:rRNA from 1 species